GGUUAAUGCAGUAAAUCUUUUAGAAGUGGCUGGAGUGAUUAAGCCUUCCAGUAGAGUUGCCAAUAUUUUUCAGCAGAUACAAUUAGUUUUGUUAUCUAGAAGAUCUCCUGUUUAUAUUACUCAUGUUAGAGCCCAUUCAGGCCUACCUGGCCCCAUGGCUCUGGGAAAUGAUUUGGCAGAUAAGGCCACUAAAGUGAUGGCUGCUGCCCUAUCAUCCCCGGUAGAGGCUGCAAGAAAUUUUCAUAACAAUUUUCAUGUAACGGCUGAAACAUUACGCAGUCGUUUCUCCUUGACAAGAAAAGAAGCCCGUGACAUUGUUACUCAAUGUCAAAGCUGCUGUGAGUUCUUGCCAGUUCCUCAUGUGGGAAUUAACCCACGCGGUAUUCGACCUCUACAGGUCUGGCAAAUGGAUGUUACACAUGUUUCUUCCUUUGGAAAACUUCAAUAUCUCCAUGUGUCCAUUGACACAUGUUCUGGCAUCAUGUUUGCUUCUCCGUUAACCGGAGAAAAAGCCUCACAUGUGAUUCAACAUUGUCUUGAGGCAUGGAGUGCUUGGGGGAAACCCAGACUCCUUAAGACUGAUAAUGGACCAGCUUAUACGUCUCAAAAAUUUCAGCAGUUCUGCCGUCAGAUGGACGUAACCCACCUGACUGGACUUCCAUACAACCCUCAAGGACAGGGUAUUGUUGAGCGUGCGCAUCGCACCCUCAAAACCUAUCUUAUAAAACAGAAGAGGGGAAUUGAAGAGAUUUUACCCCGAGCACCAAGAGUGUCUGUGUCUAUGGCACUCUUUACACUCAAUUUUUUAAAUAUUGAUGCUCAUGGCCAUACUGCGGCUGAACGUCAUUGUACAGAGCCAGAUAGGCCCAAUGAGAUGGUUAAAUGGAAAAAUGUCCUUGAUAAUAAAUGGUAUGGCCCGGAUCCUAUUUUGAUAAGAUCCAGGGGAGCGGUCUGUGUUUUCCCACAGAAUGAAGACAACCCAUUUUGGAUACCAGAAAGACUCACCCGAAAAAUCCAGACUGACCAAGGGAAUACUGAUGUCCCUCGUCUUGGUGAUGUCCAGGGCGUCAAUAAUAAAGAGAGAGCAGUGUUGGGGGAUAAUGUCGAUAUUUCCACUCCCAAUGACGGUGAUGUAUAAUGCUCAAGUAUUCUCCUGCUUUUUUACCACUAACUAGAAACUGGGUUUGGCCUUAAUUCAGACAGCCUUGGCUCUGUCUGGACAGGUCCAGAUGACUGACACCAUUAACACUUUGUCAGCCUCGGUGACUACAGUCAUAGAUAAACAGGCCUCAACUAAUGUCUAGAUACAGAGAGGUCUCAUGCUGGUUAAUCAACUCAUAGAUCUUGUCCAGAAACAACUA
rnacentral:lncRNA from 1 species